rnacentral:lncRNA from 12 species
CUCAGGCAUGAUUCUGCUGAGAAUGACCAUCCUACCACUGAAACCUGCCUGAGUCUGGAGCAAAGCCAGAGCGAGACGCAGCAGGAAGAGGAUCUCUGUGGCUGACACCAGUGCACUGAUCUCUCAGAGGUCUCUUGUAGCCUCUCUGGAGCGAGCAGUGUCUGCUCUACAGAGGAUCCCACCAAGCCAGACACAGCACACCAGCAUUCACUGUGCAAUCCUCAGCAAGCAGAAGGUCCCUGAGUUCAUCCUUCUCUGGUUCAGCAGAGAGGAAGAGACCAGCACUCAAGAACAAAUCAUCUCUCGUGGCAAAAUGUUGGAUGCAUUUGAAGCCUAUCCUCAGCAUGUCGUGGGGAUCUGUGAGAAGAAAAAACUCAAAAUAGAAACAUGUCUGAGCAGAAGAACACUACCAAGGCAGGGCAAGUUGGUGAGGAGGAGAAACCAAAUCAUUGGUCCUGGUCCUACUUCUCCUCAGAUGUUAAAACACCUAUGGAGGUCCUUUGGAAGAGAGAAAUGAACUAUCUACCCUUUGUGAGCUGGA